ACGGCUCAGUAACACGUGGACAACCUACCCUUAGGCCUGGGAUAAACCUGGGAAACUGGGUAUAAUACCGGAUAGGUCUCGGAUGCUGGAAUGCAUCGAGGCUGAAAGCUCCGGCGCCUAAGGAUGGGUCUGCGGCCUAUCAGGGUAGUAGUGGGUGUAAUGUACCUACUAGCCUACGACGGGUACGGGUCGUGAGAGCGAGAGCCCGGAGAUGGAUUCUGAGACACGAAUCCAGGCCCUACGGGGUGCAGCAGGCGCGAAAACUUUACAAUGCUGGAAACAGCGAUAGGGGGACUUUGAGUGCCAGGAUACAAUUCUGGCUGUCGUCGUGCCUAAAAAGCACGGCAUAGCAAGGGCCGGGCAAGACCGGUGCCAGCCGCCGCGGUAACACCGGCGGCUCGAGUGGUAACCGCUAUUAUUGGGUCUAAAGGGUCUGUAGCCGGCUGAAAAAGUCUCUUGGGAAAUCUGGCUGCUCAACAGUCAGGCUUUCAGGAGAUACUCUUCGGCUCGAGACCGGGAGAGGUGAGAGGUACUUCAUGGGUAGGGGUGAAAUCUUGUAAUCCUUGAAGGACCACCAGUGGCGAAGGCGUCUCACCAGAACGGAUCUGACGGCAAGGGACGAAAGCUAGGGGCACGAACCGGAUUAGAUACCCGGGUAGUCCUAGCCGUAAACGAUACUCGCUAGGUGUCGGCCACGGUGCGACCGUGGUCGGUGCCGUAGGGAAGCCGUGAAGCGAGCCACCUGGGAAGUACGGCCGCAAGGCUGAAACUUAAAGGAAUUGGCGGGGGAG
rnacentral:rRNA from 1 species